ensembl:lncRNA
CGUCUGGAAACGAGAAUUCACUCGCAAAGACGCACACCUGCGAUCAGCUGCCUGCCAUAGGUUCCCGGUGCCUACCAGCCCCGACGCGGGCAAAAACGGCCCAGGGUGCUGUGCGCGUGCGCACACUUUGCUCCCACGUGUGCCACCGAUGUCCCGGAUGGAGCACCCGUCUCCGGCUUUCUGUUUCCGGGACCCCAAGUCACGUGGGCGUCAUUGCUGAGGUAUGACACAGCCAAUCGUCCACAUUCACAGGGUUUAUGUUGCAUUUUCUGCCGUGUCAAGAGAGGAAGAAAAAUGGAGCCAUGAACUUGGGUUGUAAUUGUAGUCCUCCUCACCUGGGUGUGGUCGUGCACCUGUAAGAGCUUCAUGAGUUCUCAUCCGCCCUCUCCUUUCCUGGACCCCAGCCGCUGGAGAAGCUUUAAAAAAAUAUCUUUCAUGAGGAACAAAUGCCAUUAGCGUGAAGACUGUCUUCUGUGGUUUUGAGGCAAGAUAUUAAGGCAGACAUUUGCAUUUUCCAGAGACAGGUGCCAGAAUGUAGCGAAAGAGAACAUAGUAAAAGUCUCCAAAUGAGUGCCAAAGGCUUUUUACUCGAAAGAACGUCUGUCGAGUCUGUGCACUACAUACAGUAAGAAGAACCUUGGCCCCUAGUGACCAAAAUAGGGGUAAGAAGACUGCAGUUCAGCGUCUGCAUGGCCCAUCACCUCUCCAGGCGAAACAGUACGGAAGAGGGGACCAUCCCCUGCCCUCUCACUGCUGGCACUCCAGGGCAGCUGGCCGGGUGACUGACUGCCUGGUAGGUCCGCGCGGUGGCCGCUGUUAUCGGGGCACCGUGGAAUCGCCCGGAUCCGAGGCCUGCAGAAAGUUCACCGAUCCCGAUCUCCUCCUCAGGCUCGACUCUAACAUCGUGGAACAUUUUGUGUCACUUGGCACUGUGUUUAUUCUAGAAAAUGGAAUAGAAGAACAAUUUGUCUUGGCCUUAAGGAUUUCUGGGGCUCUGCUCUCUAUUGGCUCAGAGAUGUAUUUUCAUAGACCCAAUGUAUACUGA